rnacentral:rRNA from 1 species
UACAGAGGUCUCGGGCGUUAGGCGGAAUCACUGGGCUUAAAGCGUGUGUAGGUGGAUCGUUAAGCACCUUGUGAAAUCCCACGGCUUAACCGUGGAACUGCUUGGUAUACUGGCGGUCUUGAGCCAGCUAGGGGCUACCGGAACAAAUGGUGGAGCGGUGAAAUGCGUAGAUAUCGAGAGGAACACCUGCGGCGAAGGCGGGUUGCUGGGCUGACACUGACGCUGAUGCGCGAAAGCCAGGGGAGCGAACGGG